rnacentral:rRNA from 1 species
UACGUAGGUGGCGAGCGUUGUCCGGAUUUACUGGGCGUAAAGAGCGCGCAGGCGGUCGUACAAGUCGCGUGUGAAAGCCCCCGGCUCAACUGGGGAGGGUCACGCGAUACUGUUCGACUCGAAGGCAGGAGAGGGAAGUGGAAUUCCCGGUGUAGUGGUGAAAUGCGUAGAUAUCUGGAGGAACACCGGUGGCGAAGGCGGCAUCCUGGACCGGCAUUGACGCUGAGGCGCGAAAGCCAGGGGAGCAAACGGG